rnacentral:rRNA from 1 species
UCUGGCUUGCAUUCAGCUUAUGCGGUCGCUGCCGAUGCGUCGCUGACCUCCAGAUUGGGGCUUUGACUAGUCGGUCGGUGGCUGUGUGGUGCAUUUGCAAGUGGAGUGCGUCGAGGCACUUGGGAUGGCGGAAUGAACUUGACUUUGAGGCCAGCUUGCUGGUACCCGGGCCAGGGGAUUUCUGUUCGUUCUAGGUGUUUUACGGUGGAACAAGGCUUUGCGAGCCUGGUUGGGUGCCGAGCUGGGUGUCGGUGGCGGUCGCAUGCGACACGUACUGUGCCACCAGUUCGGUCCUGGCCGAGCUCACUCCCUGUUCAAUCUCGGCGUAAAAGCUGGUCAUCUUUCCGACCCGUCUUGAAACACGGACCAAGGAGUUUAUCGUGUGCGCGAGUCAUUGGGCGUUGAAAACCCAAAGGCGCAAUGAAAGUAAAUGUAUCCAUCCGGAGCUGAUGUGCGACCCUGGUCACUGCGGUGGCCAGGAGCAGCAUGGCCCCAUCCUGACUGCUUGCAGUGGGGUGGAAGGAAGAGCGUACGCGAUGAGACCCGAAAGAUGGUGAACUAUUCCUGAGCAGGAUGAAGCCAGAGGA